rnacentral:rRNA from 1 species
AGCAGUAGCCGCGGUAAUGCGGAGGGGGCUAGCGUUGUUCGGAAUUACUGGGCGUAAAGCGCACGUAGGCGGCUUUGUAAGUUAGAGGUGAAAGCCUGGAGCUCAACUCCAGAAUUGCCUUUAAGACUGCAUCGCUUGAAUCGCGGAGAGGUGAGUGGAAUUCCGAGUGUAGAGGUGAAAUUCGUAGAUAUUCGGAAGAACACCAGUGGCGAAGGCGGCUCACUGGACGCGUAUUGACGCUGAGGUGCGAAAGCGGGGGGAGCAAACAGGAUUAGAUACCCCAGUAGUCCCUGUCUCUUAUAC